UACGUAGGGGGCGUAGCGUUGUCCGGAUUUAUUGGGCGUAAAGAGCGUGUAGGCGGCCAGGUAGGUCCGUUGUGAAAACUCGAGGCUCAACCUCGAGACGUCGAUGGAAACCAUCUGGCUAGAGUCCGGAAGAGGAGAGUGGAAUUCCUGGUGUAGCGGUGAAAUGCGCAGAUAUCAGGAAGAACACCCGUGGCGAAGGCGGCUCUCUGGUACGUGACUGACGCUGAGACGCGAAAGCGUGGGGAGCAAACAGG
rnacentral:rRNA from 1 species